CCGGCGCCGCCCCCGCCCCUCCACGCGGGGCCGGGGGCAGAAUGGGCGUCUCGCUUCUCUUCACGAAACAAAGAAGCAACCGCCGCCGCCGCCGCCGCCGCCGCCGCCGCCGAGCGAGGAUCUACUGCCCUGAAAAAUGAGCAUCACAAGAAAACUGUUUACCCAAAUCAACCAAUGAGAUGUACUGUGCAGAAAACAAGAAGCCAUCCUCCAAAUUACAAACCCAGGGCAAUAGAUUUCUUUUAGCUGGAAGCCCAAGUUUUAAAUCAGCUCAGCAGAUGAUCAAGAAUAUCGUGUUACACUUGCAGCGAACUAUGUCACUUUCUGCAACUACAGGUCAAAACUAACUAUCCACAUUUUUCAUAGUUUUGUAGGUGUUUUAUAGGUACUGUGCAACUCCUCUGCCCCCAUGGAGGUUUCUGUUCUAAAGAAAUGGACAAAGAAACAUUAACCUGUGUGGUGAAUCGCCAAGAGGAGAUUAGUUCAAAACACAGGCUUGGAGAAUUUUCUCCUCUGAGGGCAGGAGGAGAAGGAGGUGACAGAGGAUGAGAUGGUUGGAUGGCAUCAUCAACUCAAUGGACAUGAGUCUGAGCAAAUUCCGAGAGACAGUGAAGGACAGGGAAGCCUGGUGUGCUGCAGUCCAUGGGGUCGCAAAGAGUCAGACACGACUGAGUGACUGAACAACCCCAGCUUGAAUGCCACCUCUCUGCCUCCCUCCCUGGCGUCUCACAGGAGGACUUGGCUUAGAUUUAGCUUCCAUCCCCACCCCAGACUGGUUAGACACCCUUCCUCUGCUGGGAAAGAUAGAGGCACAGGAGGGAAUCCUUUUUCAAAGGUGUUGAAAGGAUGAGCUUAGUAAGCCAAGCCACUGUUGAAGGACCAGAAAUUAGUAUGAGCAACAACAGCUAACACUUGCAUAGCAUUUCCUGGGUGCCAGCUGUUACCCUAAGCUGGAAAUCUGUAAAUUUAAAUGUAGUGGAAAUGCUAGUCGGUACCACCGCCUUGGAAGACCAUUUGGCAAUUUCCUACAAAACCAAACAUAUCCUUGGACUUGCCUGGGGCACAAGCGGUUACAAAUCCUCCUGCCAAUGCAGGGUACACAGGUUCAAUCCCUGGUCCGGGAAGAUUCUACAUGCUGCGGAGCAACUAAGCCUGAGUGCCACAACUACUGAAGCCCGCAAACCCUAGAUCCUGUGGCUCCUCAACAGAAGCCACCGCAAUGAGAGGCCCGCACACCACAAUUGGAGAGUAGCCUCCACCUGCUGCAACUAGAAAAAGCCCAUGCAGCAACACAGACCCAGCACAACCAAAAAUAAAAUAAGUAAAUAAAAGGAAAAGCUGUACUCUUAUCAUCUCGCAAUCCUGCUCCACAGUAUUUACCCAAAUGUAUUAAAAACGUAGGUCCACACAGAAACCUGCACACGAGUGUUUCUACCUGCUUUAUUCAUAAUUGCCAAAAUUUGGAGGCAGCCAAGAUGCUCCUCGAUAAAUGAGUGUAUAAACAAACUGUGAUAAAUCCAGACAGUGGAAUGUUAGCACUGCAGAGAAGUAAGACCAAACCAGGCAGCCCGCUUGCCACUUCCCACAACCAUACUUCCGCUGCAGGGGCAUGGUUUCGAUCCCUGGCCUGGGAACUAAGAUUCUGCAUGCCUCGCAGCAUGGCCAAAAAAAUAGGGGACAUGGAGGAACCUUAAUUGCGUAUUUCUGAGUGAAAGAAGCCAGUCUGUAAUGGCUAUAUACCGUGUGAUUCUAAUUCUAUGACAAUUCUGGAAGAGGCAAAACCGGAGAAUGUAAAAGGAAACCCUCCCCCUGGGGUUGGGGGUGAGAGAGAGGUAGUGAAACCAUUCUAUAUGAUACAGUCAGUGAUGGAUACAUGUCAUUUGCCCAAACCCAUAGAAUGUGCAACACAGGGUUUUCCCUGAUAUAAACUGUGGGUGAUGGCGAUGUGUCAAUGCAGGUAUAGCAAUUGCAGCAAAUGUACCACUCUGAUGGGGGCUGUUGACAGUGGGGGAGGCUGUGCAUGUGAGGAGGGCAGGGGCGAUAAGGAACUUGUACUGUUUUUUCUGUACUUUCUGCUCAGUUUUGCUGUGAACCUAAAACUGCCCUAAAAAUUAAAGCCUAUUUUUUAAAAAUGGAAAAUGCAACAAUAUGCGUGAACCCUAAUGUGAACCAUGGACUUUAGCCAAUAGUAAUGUAUCCAUAUUGAUUCAGUUGUAACCAAUUUCAGUUGUAGAAAGUGUUUCACAUUAAUGCAAGAUGUUAAUGAUAAGGGAAACUGGAAACUAUGGGAUAGAGGGUUGAUGGGGAGAGGAGAUACAUGGAAACUGUAUACUAUUUGCUCAAUUUUUUGUCAACCUAAAAGUGCUCUAAAAAAUAAAGUCUGGGGACUUCCCUGGUGGUCUAGUGGUUGAGAAUCCCCCUUGCAGUGCAGGGGAUGUGAGUUUGACCCCUGGUGUGUGCGCCCCAACUACUGAGCCCGCACGCCACAACUUGAGAGUUAAUGCACCGCAGUGAAGGAUCCCACGUGACGCAGCUAAAUAUAUCUUUGAAAAAUAAAGUCUGUUCAUCUAAAACCUAUACAUCCAUAUCCAUAU